AUGGACCGUAUGGUUUGGAAGGCUUGGGCACCCCCUAAGGUUAAAUUCUUUGCGUGGCUUGCCCUGCAAGACCGAAUUUGGACCGCCGAUCGUCUGGAGAAGCGUGGUUGGGUCAAUUGUGGUCUUUGUCCACUAUGCAACAGAGAGCAAGAAACGGGGCCACACCUCUUCUUCAAGUGUCGUUACACUCUUAGGCUUUGGAGAUCUAUCAUCGAGAAGCUUGGGCUACCUCACGUCAACAUUCCCGAUUGGCAUCUUGAUGAAUCCGACCGAAACCCGAAUUGGCAUGCCAUGUCCUCUCUCGUCAUGCUCACCUCUUGGACCAUUUGGGAACGAGCGAAAUGCUAG
rnacentral:rRNA from 1 species